UGGCGGCUUGUAGACAAAAGACAUCUGACGCUUUAUGGCGCGAUGUGUCUUAAUACCGGAUGCUUCACUCACACAAGUAUUUUACCGUCAUUGGACUUAGUAGAAGUGUGUGAGUUUGAAUUCAGGACAUGAAUAUUCAUGGCAAACGUGACGAAGAGCCGUUUCAAACAAGCAGGGAUAAUAACUCCAGUUGUUAAAAUAGACAUUUGCGUCAUAAACGUAUUGUAAAGAUGGAGGUUAUUAAAGUGGAGAUUGUGGACAUGGGCGAUCCAGAAACAUGCGGAGUGAAAAAUGAAGAUACUGAAGAACAAAGAGACCUGAAGGAAGUGAAGAAGGAAAGUCAAGAACCAAAUGAAGUGGAGGAGGAACAUCAGGAACCUCAUAAUUCCACAACUGGAGAAAUCUCUUUGAGUUGCUCACAGACUGGAAAGGUCAUCUCUCAGAUAAAAAGAGUAGUCAGAAAGCCUUUUUGCUGCCCUCAAUGUGAAAAGAGUUUCACAUGCAAAGACCACCUUAUGGAUCACUUCAGAAUUUACAGUGGAGAAAGGCCUUACGUGUGUCCUCCAAUGUGACGAGUUUCACGCAUCAAGGAAAUCUAUUAAGUCAUAUGAAAAUACAUUCUGGAGAGAAACCACACCAGUGUUCUCAGUGUGGCAAGAGGUUCUUUGAGGCAACAUAUCUCAAACACCUGAAAAUACAUACAGUUGAGAGGCCCCAUAUGUGUUCUCUUUGUGGCAAUGGUUAUUUAAGUCUCAGAAGUUUAGAAGCACACCAAAAAACACAUACUGGUAAACUGUAGUGUACAUAUUGCGAAAAGAAAAAGACAUGACGCCAUGUCUAAUUAAUGAUCUAAAGUGUGCUUUAGACAUAAGCAAGCAAAUAUUUAAUUCCUACAAUGUUUACUUUUCACUAGAAAUGGAUUCAGAAGGUAGCAAAGCUGGAUCAUCAAAUUUCACACUUGAGUCUUCUUUUAAAGGACCAAACUGAGACCCCCUUAAGUGGACCGUUAAGUAAACCGAGUGAAAAAGGACACUGUUAUCUUGCAUUGACACUGUCCGAGCCCAUGAAUGUGGACACUGUUGUUUUUAGAGGUUGACCAAAAGUAGGGUUUGCCGAUACGAUAACUAAAACCCAAAGUAAACUUCGGUCCGACGUGAACGCAAUGCGUCUGCGCACCGCACACGUGAUGCAUAUUUCGUCAUUCGCAGAGUGCUCGAAGUAAAUGUGCUGCCCAAUUUUUCUAACCGCGCUCACUCUGAAAGCACAGAAUGCGCAUGCACCUGGAAUUAUUUACAGUAAUUUGUGGGUUCACAAGGUAGCAACACUCAUCGCUGAGCCUGUGCUGUCACAAAGAAGCACUUAAAGAAGACGUAAUUGCCGUUAAACAUCAGCGGCCUGAAGGUAGAAACAACAAUAGGGGAUGUGCAUGUCAAGAGCACAUGUGUGAGGAGGUCAGGAGAUACCUGGAUUUGUAUACCUCGAGUCUGAAGGACUAUAAAGGACUAUCUUUAUAGGUAUAAACUCCUGAAGAGAAAUAGGACAAUGUCCCAUAGCAGUCGUAGCACGUGUGCCAACCACAUAUGUAUGCGUGCACAGAAGGACUGGGUGAUAAAAACGCUAUUAAUAUUUCGAGAAAAAAAUAUAUUUUUGAUAUCAAUGAUAAGCUUUUGAAUAAUUUCGAUAUUUGGCCUAUGUUCUACAUCUAGGCGAUCAGGUACGGGUCGCUAAAAACACAAGCAGUUUGGUAAAGUAAUACACACAGCAAACUGAAUCACAGUCAUGAAAUCAGCCAGUUAGGAAGUGUUGGCAGGCUAGCAGCUCUACAUAGCCCUGCUGUCAUGAAAACCCGCAAUGAGGCUCGGUAGCCGCUAGGUAGCUAUCUGGCUAAUGUGAUGUUGUGUACCGAACAAGACACUAUUGACAAAGCAAUACAGCUUUUGACUGAACACAACAACAACUCUGAUGUCAACACUAUAGCAUUGGGGAUUUUCUCCCCAAUUUGGCAUGCCCAAUUCCCAAUGCACUCCAAGUCCUCAUGGUGGCAUAGUGAUUCGCCUCAAUACAGGUGGCAGAGGACGAAUCUCAGUUGCCUCCACGUCUGAGACAGUCAAUCCGCGCAUCUUAUCACGUGGCUUGAGCGCGUUACCGCGGAGACCUAGUGCAUGUGGAGGCUCACACUAUUCUCCGCGGCAUCCACGCACAAAUCACCACACGCCCCACCGAGAGCGAGAACCACAUUAUAGCAACCAUGAGGAGGUUAACCCAACGUAACUCUACCCACCCUAGCAACCGGGCCAAUUGGUUGCUUAGGAAGCCUGACUGGAGUCACUCAGCACACCCUGGUUUCGAACUUGCGGCUCCAGGUGUGGUAGUCAGCGUCUUUUAACUGCUGAGGUACCCAGGCCCCCUAGUUGAACAUUUUUGUAAUGAUCCAUAGCGCUGUCACAGGCAAUAAAGUGUUUCUUCUUCUUGAGAUGUUUAUUGGCGGUUGGCAAUCCUGUUUAUUGUGCAUUAUCGGCACCUACUGAGCCGGAGUGCGGAUGUCACAAGGAAGUCUUUCAGUAGAGUCAAACAUCAGCUGAAGAUGAUGAAAUGGGUGAAAUUUCAUUAAAAAGAGGUUACGCAUCUUAUGUAGGAUUAUAUCCUAAAUGGAGUAUACUUUAAAGGUAGCUUACCCUAUGGAGUUUAAUUGGAAAUGAACAAAUCAUGUUUAAUUCAUUCUUGAAGUCUAACAAACAAGUGGAUUCCAUUUCCUCCCCCAUUAAUGGAGUGAAGUACAGGUGCAUCUCAAUAAAUUAGAAUGUCGUGGAAAAGUUCAUUUAUUUCAGUAAUUCAACUCAUUGUGAAACUCGUGUAUUAAAUAAAUUCAAUGCACACAGACUGAAGUAGUUUAAGUCUUUGGUUCUUUUAAUUGUGAUGAUUUUGGCUCACAUUUAACAAAAACCCACCAAUUCACUAUCUCAACAAAUUAGAAUAUGGUGACAUGCCAAUCAGCUAAUCAACUCAAAACACCUGCAAAGGUUUCCUGAGCCUUCAAAAUGGUCUCUCAGUUUGGUUCACUAGGCUACACAAUCAUGGGGAAGACUGCUGAUCUGACAGUUGUCCAGAAGACAAUCAUUGACACCCUUCACAAGGAGGGUAAGCCACAAACAUUCAUUGCCAAAGAAGCUGGCUGUUCACAGAGUGCUGUAUCCAAGCAUGUUAACAAAGUUGAGUGGAAGGAAAAAGUGUGGAAGAAAAAGAUGCACAACCAACCGAGCGAACCGCAGCCUUAUGAGGAUUGUCAACUAAAAUCGAUUCAAGAAUUUGGGUGAACUUCACGAGGAAUGGACUGAGGCUGGGGUCAAGGCAUCAAGAGCCACCACACACAGACGUGUCAAGGAAUUUGGCUACAGUUGUCUUAUUCCUCUUGUUAAGCCACUCCUGAACCACAGACAACGUCAGAGGCGUCUUACCUGGGCUAAGGAGAAGAAGAACUGGACUGUUGCCCAGUGGUCCAAAGUCCUCUUUUCAGAUGAGAGCAAGUUUUGUAUUUCAUUUGGAAACCAAGGUCCUAGAGUCUGGAGGAAGGGUGGAGAAGCUCAUAGCCCAAGUUGCUUGAAGUCCAGUGUUAAGUUUCCACAGUCUGUAAUGAUUUGGGGUGCAAUGUCAUUGCUGGUGUUGAUCCAUUGUGUUUUUUGAAAACCAAAGUCACUGCACCCGUUUACCAAGAAAUUUUGGAGCACUUCAUGCUUCCUUCUGCUGACCAGCUUUUUAAAGAUGCUGAUUUCAUUUUCCAGCAGGAUCUGGCACCUGCCCACACUGCCAAAAGCACCAAAAGUUGGUUAAAUGACCAUGGUGUUGCUGUGCUUGACUGGCCAGCAAACUCACCAGACCUGAACCCCAUAGAGAAUCUAUGGGGUAUUGUCAAGAGGAAAAUGAGAAACAAGAGACCAAAAAAUACAGAUGAGCUGAAACCUGGGCUUCCAUACCACCUCAGCAGUGCCACAAACUGAUCACCUCCAUGCCACGCCGAAUUGAGGCAGUAACUAAAGCAAAAGGAGCCCCUACCAAGUAUUGAGUACAUAUACAGUAAAUGAACAUACUUUCCAGAAGGCCAACAAUUCACUAAAAAUGUUUUUUUUUUUUUUUUUUUUUUUUUAUUGGUCUUAUGAUGUAUUCUAAUUUGUUGAGAUGGUGAAUUGGUGUGUUUUUGUUAAAUGUGAGCCAAAAUCAUCACAAUUAAAAGAACCAAAGACUUAAACUACUUCAGUCUGUGUGCAUUGAAUUUAUUUAAUACACGAGUUUCACAAUUUGAGUUGAAUUACUGAAAUAAAUGAACUUUUCCACGACAUUCUAAUUUAUUGAGAUUCACCUGUAUAUAUUAUGAUAAAUAUCAAUAUUGAAUGAUAUGAAAAAAAUAUUGUGAUAAUAGUUUUGGCCAUAUUGCCCAGCCCUAGCAAACAGUCAAAUGAAGUAUACUUUUUAAAGUCUAGCAUUCGAUGGUACGCAGAUGCUUAGCUUUCGCAUCAAAAAGUAGUUUGCUUUAGGCAGUGACGCUUCCUGCUGGCCACGCCAUUCACCAUGCUCAUUAUAACAGUUUGUAUUUAACUCAGAAUAAUGUGUAUUAUCAGACAUUACAUAUUUAACAUUAAUAAUAAAACAGCAAGGAGCAGCAAAUGUUUAGUUAGAAUUGCCCUCUUAAACUCCACUCCCACUUUUCUCGAGUAUGCGUGUUACAGAGCACCAAUUGAAUCAUCAGCAGUACUUGUAAGAGGAGCGCUGUGAACUUGACAACAACAAAACAAGCUCUUGGACAAAACAACAAAGGGUGAUGGUCAGACUUGCGUUUAUCAUCGAAGGAAUGAGCCUUACACCGAGUCUGUACUCUGGAGCCGGAUCAAUUUGGAGGUGGAGGGUCCGUCAUGGUCUGGGGCGGUGUGUCACAGCAUCAUCGGACUGAGCUUGUUCUCAUUGCAGGCAAUCUCAACGCUGUGCGUUACAGGGAAGACAUCCUCCUCCCUCAUGUGGUACCCUUCCUGCAGGCUCAUGCUGACAUGACCCUCCAGCAUGACAAUGCCACCAGCCAUACUGCUUGUUCUGUGUGUGAUUUCCUGCAAGACAGGAAUGUCAGUGUUCUGCCAUGGCCAGCGAAGAGCCCAGAUCUCAAUCCCAUUGAGCACGUCUGGGACCUGUUGGAUGGGAGGGUGAGGGCUAGGGCCAUUCCCCCCAGAAAUGUCCGGGGACUUGCAAGUGCCUUUGUGGAAGAGUGGGGUAACAUCUCACAGCAAGAACUGGCAAAUCUGGUGCAGUCCAUGAGGAGGAGAUGCACUGCAGUACUUAAUGCAGCUGGUGGCCACACCAGAUACUGACUGUUACUUUUGAUUUUGAACCCCCCCUUUGUUCAGGGACACAUUAUUCCAUUUCUGUUAGUCACAUGUCUGUGAAACAUGUUCAGUUUAUGUCUUAGUUGUUGAAUCUUUUAAUGUUCAUACAAAUAUUUAAACAUGUUAAGUUUGCUGAAAAUAAAAGCAGUUGAAAAUGAGAGGACGUUUCUUUUUUUGUCUGAGUUUAUAUACAGCUCUGGAUAAAAAUUAAGAGACCACUGCAAAAUGAUCAGUUUCUCUGGAUUUACUAUUUAUAGGUAUAUGUUUGAGUAAACUGAACAUUUUUGUUUUAUUUUAUAAAGUACUGACAACAUUUAUCCCAAAUUCCAAAUAAAAAUAUUGUCAUUUAAAGCAUUUAUUUACAGCAAAUGACAACUGGUCAAAAUAACAAAAAAGAUGCAGUGUUUUCAGACUUCAAAUAAUGCAAAGAAAACAAGUUCAUAUUCAUUUAUAAACAACACAAUACUAGUGAUUUAACUUAGGAAGAGUUCAGAAAUCAAUAUUUGGUGGAAUAACCCUGAUUUUCAAUCACAGCUUUCAUGUGUCUUGGCAUGCUCUCUACCAGUCUUUCACAUUGCUGUUGGGUGACUUUAUGCUUCUCCUGGCGCAAAAAUUCAAGCAGCUCGGCUUUGUCUGAUGGCUUGUGGCCAUCCAUCUUCAUCUUGAUCACAUUCCAGAGGUUUUCAAUGGGGUUCAGGUCUGGAGAUUGGGCUGGCCUUGACAGGGUCUUGAUCUGGUGCUCCUCCAUCCACACCUUGAUUGACCUGGCUGUGUGGCAUGGAGCAUUGUCUUGCUGGAAAAACCAAUCCUCAGAGUCGGGGAACAUUGUCAGAGCAGAAGGAAGCAAGUUUUCUUCCAGGAUAACCUGUACGUGGCUUGAUUCAUGUGUCCUUCACAAAGAUGAAUCUGCCUGAUUCCAGCCUUGCUGAAGCACCCACAGAUCAUCACCAAUCCUCCACCUGGUCGUCUAAUGAUUAGACGGAGACCUGAAGAGGCCUACAAGCCACAGUGUCUCACACCCACUGUGAAAUUUGGUGGAGGAUCGGUGAUGAAGGAAUUUUGCCAUAAAUUUACAGCAUUUUUUUACAGUGUGGCCUCUGGUCUAACAAUUUAAAUAAUGUUUUGUUUCUACCCACAUUUAUAUGCAGUUUUUUUUUUUUAGCAGCAAUAACUACAAAAAUAUUUUUUCUUUUAAACACAGGCAUUAAUAAUACUAAUUUAGUAAUUCAUAAAAAAAGAAUGGGACAAAAGGUAAAUAUAUGGGGGAUCCGUUUAAAACUCAUUUCUUUUUUAUUUUAUAAUCUGGCAAAUCUUGUACUGAUACUUUCCCUAAUAUCAGUCUCAGAUCUAGUAUUUUUAAUUUUAUUUUGACAGAUCAUGUUUUAAUACAUUUCAAGUACUUACUGGGGCUAUGUAUGUACUGUAUGUAAAUGUAAAAAGUAGUUUCAUAAAGAACAAGCAUCUAGCUUU